CUAAUUUUGAGAGGCAAGUGAUGGCAACAUUUCCUGGAUCAAUUCCUCCUGCCUUAAGGAUACUCCACUGAAUUUGAUUAUGAUACUCCCUGCAUGGCAAGCUUAUGUAUGUGCUCACUCUAAAGCUCGAGAGCUGGAACUCUCUCCCACCAGGAGAAGGCACCUCAGUUAGGACCAUGAGGGAACUCUGUCUAAGUAUCUUGAGACAACGGCCAGCUUACAGUCUAGCUCUGCCCACAUGGCGCCAGCUCAAUCACCCAGUAGAUAAGGUAUUCAAGCCAGUCACAUAGACCCUGCACCUGCUCGCUUCUUCCCCUGCAUGCCAUUCAUGCCAAGUCCCCCUUUAAAAACCCUUGCUUUUUGUCCCAAAAGGGAAACAGUACCUUAAAGGCAGGAGCCUGUACUUAUUCCCCUAAGCUAGCUUUGGGAUAAAGUCACUUUAUUUAUACCAGACCUCACAUUUGUGAAUUGGACUCUGCAAGCAGCAAACGACUAAACUUGUGUUUUCGAUAUAUUACCAGGUUUGUGUUAAGACUACUAAAGAAUACAAAAAAGCAACCCCCCUCAAAAAAAAAAAAAAAAAAAAAAAAACACACACACACAGUUUUGUCUCCCCUUUGCCUACACUGAUGAAGAUUUUUACAAGCCAUGAAAUUUCCAGUAGGUGAGGAAGUCUGGAGGGAGAAGAUAGAGGAGAGGGCCUGGGUAAAUCAGAAAGCAACUGCAUCUUCUGUCUUCUUGGCAAUACUGGAUUCCUCCUCCUUUAAGAGGAACCACCAUUAAACCAAAACAAAAAGCACAGCUUAUUAAAAAACUGCAGAAGAGGACAUUGUGCAUUGCAGGCUGGCAAAGUAUGCCAGGAUUGGACUGCCUUCACUAAGUCAAGCUCUGCCAAGAAGUCGUUUUUAAUAUUAUUCAGAAAUUAUCUUUUGGCUUCAAUUCAGAUCAUCAUAAAUGCCAAAUCUUGUAGCCCAAAUUGAUGAUGAUUUGUUGUUACAUUUCCUGGUAACUCGGCACUUAAUCUUGUUGGAGACAGACUGGAAGUGUUUUGUUUGUUCCCUUUUGCUUGCUCAUGACCCAACCCACCCCAUGCCUCUCCACCCUACUUACCCCAAAAGAGAGAGAAGACUAACAGAACCAGGGUGGUUUUAGUGGUGAGGAAGUAGGCUUAAGUUAGUAAUAGAAGUUAUAAAAAGUAGAUUUCAGUAUAAUAGAUAAAGUAGAUAAGAUGGCUGCUUAUGUAGCUUUGGCUAGUGGAGACUUAGGGUGAAGCCGAGCUGACUGAUAGUGAUGUGCUGCAGGCUAGGUAGUUUGGGCUGCUUACAAAUCUGGUACUGAUUGACAGGAGUUAGAACAAUACUCAGCUUGAUUUUUCUCAAUUCAUAUUAAAGGCUAAAGAUAUGGCCUUAUCAUAUAUCCCUUGUUCUUAGCACAGUCUUCAUAGUAUUGGGAAUGACAUCUAUUCUUCAGUUCUAAGGAAAGAGUUGUGCCAGUAAGAUGAGUUAUAUAUUUGCAUUUCAAACCUUUUUUUGCAGUCUUCCCUCAGGCCUUGUUCAUUUGGACCUGUGAGUUUAUAAGCUUGUACUUCAUCACACAAUUGCAUUAAAAGGUGAAAUUACCCUGAGUAUCAAGACAGUAAUUCCCAUCCAGAAAGUUUUUGGAAAAAUUAUAAUCUUUAUACCUUUUUUUGAGCUACCUUGGGCUAAGAGCACUGUUAAAUACAGUAAGAAGUUAUUCUUCAAAGGUGUAGCUUUUUUAAGUUUCCUUAUUCUUUAUUCCCUGCUUUCAAGGCCAGACUUCCUUACUAUCGCUGUCUCCCUGCUCUGGUCACAGCAAGCAACUUCCCAGCCAGUCCUUAUCUAUAGGGCCCACAUUCUACUCCCUCUGCAAAUUACCCCUCCUGCCAGAAUAGUUUCUCCCACCGAAACUGUCCUUGCCCCUAGUGUAACCCCCUCUCUGCACCCUUCAAAUUAGCUAACCAGGACCAGUUUAGAUUGUGUGGUCCAGCUGCAGCCAAUGGAGACAGGACACAGUAGUAGAAACCCAUUGUGUUAGAAAUAAAAACCUCUUGCUUUCCAUUGUUCAUGGUGCUCUUGCCAUUGCUCUAUCUGUGAGAUGCACCCUUCUAUGGAAGUAAAUUUGCCUUGCUGAGAAAAUUUAUGUUUGAGUUCUAUUUCUUUUGUAGCACCAAAAUUUGUUUCUAACAAGCACCUCCAGUCAUUGCUGCCUCUGCUGUACUGGCUUUCUCAGACCUAGUGUCCUGUUGCUAGUUUCUCAGAACAGUAUUUAGAACUUCUGCUCAUAGGGUAUUUUUUAAAAUCAUUGAUUGUUUUGUCUGUUGCUUGUGUUGCUUCUUUUGAUCAGGGUCACAGGAGACCUUAGUGGCCACUGAAUGGCAGAAUUUGAAAAAUCUUUGUGGAUAUGUGCAUACUUUAAAAGAACUCUAAGCUGAAAUGCAUGUCAACCUUGAAACCAAAUUUCCUAAUUGCUCCGGUGAUUUAAAUUUGUAUUAGUUUCACUUCAGUCUGUUUGUGAGUCCUCAUUUAAUAGGCCCUAAGAGAUGAAGUGAUUUGCCUUGGGUGACCCAGCAAGUCAGCUGCAUAUUCAACUAUUAUUUAUCUAACACCCAAACACCACAGGGG